UACGUAGGGUGCAGGCGUUAAUCGGAAUACUGGGCGUAAAGCGUGCGCAGGCGGUUUGCUAAGACAGGUGUGAAAUCCCCGGGCUUAACCUGGGAACUGCGCUUGUAACUGGCAAGCUAGAGUGUGGCAGAGGGGGGGUGGAAUUCCACGUGUAGCAGUGAAAUGCGUAGAGAUCAUGAGGAAGACCAGUGGCGAAGGCGGGUCUCUGGACAGUUCCUGACACUGAGACACGAAGGCCAGGGGAGCAAACGGG
rnacentral:rRNA from 1 species